GACGAACGCUGGCGGCGUGCCUAAUACAUGCAAGUAGAACGCUGAAGGAGGAGCUUGCUUCUCUGGAUGAGUUGCGAACGGGUAAGUAACGCGUAGGUAACCUGCCUGGUAGCGGGGGAUAACUAUUGGAAACGAUAGCUAAUACCGCAUAACAGUAGAUAUCGCAUGAUAUCUACUUGAAAGGUGCAAUUGCAUCACUACCAGAUGGACCUGCGUUGUAUUAGCUAGUUGGUGAGGUAACGGCUCACCAAGGCGACGAUACAUAGCCGACCUGAGAGGGUGAUCGGCCACACUGGGACUGAGACACGGCCCAGACUCCUACGGGAGGCAGCAGUAGGGAAUCUUCGGCAAUGGACGGAAGUCUGACCGAGCAACGCCGCGUGAGUGAAGAAGGUUGUCGGAUCGUAAAGCUCUGUUGUAAGAGAAGAACGAGUGUGAGAGUGGAAAGUUCACACUGUGACGGUAUCUUACCAGAAAGGGACGGCUAACUACGUG
rnacentral:rRNA from 1 species